UGUCACUUUGGCAGCACAUAAUACCAGAAUUAGAAUGACACAGAAAAGAUUAGCAUGGCCGCUGCACAAGGACGCAUUAUUAUUUUUUUAAUGGACAAAAACACUU
rnacentral:snRNA from 1 species